CCAGCCUUCAGGUGCACAUGGCCUAAAUAAAACCUGAACCCAUUCUUGAGAUAUUCCAGGUCUCCCUUGGCCAUCAUCUACCUCAGAUUCCUUUGCUAGUCCUUACUUUUUGCCUCCAUAUGAGAAUCUCAAAAGUUCUUUGUUCAUAGUCACGCUUCAUACCUCUGGCAAGUAUUUCUUUACNNNAUAAGACAGGGACGUGUUGUACCAGUUCUGACUGAAGAAUACAUAUUGACACUAUGAACUCUACCAAAGAGUAGCCAACUAACUGUCUAACUAAAGGUGUAGCUCACAACCAUCUACCCAGAAAUUAUUCAUUGCAUUUGUAACAUAAAUGAUCGAAGAGAAAAUAAGUAGAAAAUAAAAAAAUUUGGAGAACAGACUGUUGAUGCAGAUCUUGAAAACUGAA
rnacentral:misc_RNA from 1 species